AUGGAUCAGGUAAUGCAGUUUGUCGAGCCAAGUCAGCAGUUUGUAAAGGACUCGACUCCAUUCGGCUGGUUAAAAGAUACACUAAACCUGAUAGAAAAGAAUUCCAGAAGAUUGCCAUGGCAACAGCAAUAGGAUUUGCUAUAAUGGGAUUCACUGGCUUCUUUGUGAAACUGAUCCUUAUUCCUAUUAAUAACAUCAUUGUUGGUGGCUGAAUACAUUUUGGAAGAGAGUUUUUCAUCUUAGAGACUGGUGAACAAGUGUGAGGGUGUG